rnacentral:lncRNA from 1 species
CAGGGAUAAGAGCAAUGAGGCACACCCCUCAUCUCCUUUCAUCUGCUUCACCUUGGCUCUCAAUGUCAAGGUUAAGAGCACCAUCACCCAUUUCCAGAGGUUUGUUUGUUGAGGUUGAUAUGACCCCUCGACUAAAACCUAACCCUUGUGUGAGCCCCUUGUGUGUAUAUAGUGUGUGCUACCUGUGCUUGUAUGUUUGUUUGACUUGCUUCCUGUGCAAGUUAGGUUUAGUUUAGACUAAUCCUUGUUUGCUUUCGCCCUCGUUGCGAUCCUUUCUCUCGCCCUCGUUGCGAUCGAGCCUUUUCCUUUCUCUCGCCCUCGUUGCGAUCGAGCCUUUUCCUUUCUCUCGCCCUCGUUGCGAUCGAG